UUACGGCCACAUCACGUUGAAACACCGGCUUCCAUACGGUCAUCGAAGGUAAGCAAUAUCGAGACAGGUCAUUACCUAGAUGAGUGACAGCUUGGGAAUACCAGGUGCUGUAAGC